AAAAAUAGCAAACGUUUGUGGUUUCCAAAUGUCACCCAGUGGUAGGUUACAACCAGAGUUUUGGGGGAAAUUGCUUGUUGAUAAGGAAGGUAUCUUAUUAGACAAUGGAUUGACGAAAGCAGUAGAGGCUUGGUAUCGUGUUGCAAGAGGUCUCAAACGAGAGGGAUGGUCAGAAGAGGAAAUUGAUUUUGGAGGACAGACAAUAUUUGCGUAUCACAGAAAUGUUUGUAAUGAUGAUGAUUCAUCCACUAUUGUUCCCCGGCCACCACCCUAUGAUGGCGCCCAGAAUGUCACAAGUGAACCAUGCCCCACAUCCUCAGACACUACC
rnacentral:lncRNA from 1 species